GCAGAAUAUACGAUCAACGGUGCCCAUACGGGCUUGAUAGGGAAGUGAGGUGAAACUCCUCCACGGACCCGCCGCUGUAAGCGAUGACAAAGGGCAACAAUGUCACUGAUCAAUUUGAUCGGGAAGACGCCCGGAGGAUGAUUCGCAAGUCAGAAGACCUGCCUUGAUCUUACAUCAUGA
rnacentral:ncRNA from 2 species